ensembl:lncRNA
CGACAAAGAGGGGAUCGGGAAUGGGGAUGGUCCGGGAAAAACGGGAAUGGCACAUGGGGAAUGGGAAUGGUCCCGGAAAAAACGGGAAUGGUCACGGGAAAAACGGGAAUGGCACACGGGGAAUGGUCACGGGAAAAACGGGAAUGGCACACGGGGAAUGGUCCGGGAAAAACGGGAAUGGCACCCGGGGAAUGGUCACGGGAAAACGGGAAUUCAACACGAGGAAUGGUCCCGGGAAAAACGGGAGUUUCAUCCCGGGAAUGCCGCACGGGGAAUGGGAAUGCUCCCGGGGAAACCGGGAAUGCCGCACGGGGAAUGGGAAUGCUCCUGGGAAAAAUGAGAAUUCCAUCACAGAAUGGGAAUGCUUCUGGGAAAAUGGGAAUUUCAUCUGGGGAAUGGGAAUGAUCCCAGGAGAACCGGGAAUUCCAUCCCGGGAAAACCGGGAAUGCGACACAGGGAAUGGGAAUGCUCCAGUCCCGGGAAAAGCGGGACUUUCAUCUGGGGAAUGCUCUGAUCCCAGAAAACCGGGAAUUCCAUUCCAGGAGUGCUCCGGUGCUGGAAAAGCAGGAAUCCCACCCGGGGGGGUUGGGAAGAGCCGCUGGCUCCGUGCUGAGGGGACAGCGGGCAGGGAGGGAGGGAGGGACCCCGGAAGGAGUCGGGACAUCCCCAAAUCCCAAAAUGCCACCGCUCAUCCAGAGGGGGCAGCGCCCUCAGUCCCGGGGAUCCAGGGGGUGAUCCCGGCCCAUCCCAGACCUCAGGGUUUGGAUCCUCCUCCAUCCAGCUCGGGAUGAGGAUUCCCAAAAUCCCACCGCUCAUCCAGGAAGGGUCACCUCUCCCUGGGACAGCCCCAAACCCACGGGAUGAUCCUGGCCCAUCCCAGACCUCAGGGUUUGGAUCCUCCAGCUGAUUUGGGAUCAGAAUUCCCAAAAUCCCACCCCAUCCCAAAAGGAGUCCCCUCCCUGCUGAUCCCGGUCCCAUCCCAGACCUCAGGGUUUGGAUCCUCCUCCAGCAGAUUUGGCAUCAGGGUUCCCAAAAUCCCACCCCUCAUCCAGGGAAGGGUCACCUGUCCCUGGGACAGCCCCACACCCAUGGGGUGAUCCCGGUCCCAUCCCGAACCUCAGAGUGAGGGUUUGGAUCCUCCUCCAGCUGAUUUGGGAUCAGGAUUCCCGAAAUCCCACCCCUCAUCCCAAGAAGUCACCUCCCUGCUGUCCCCGGGACAGCCCCAAACCCACGGGAUGAUCCCAGUCCAUCCCAGACCUCAGGGUUUGGAUUCUCCAGCUGAUUUGGGACCAGGAUUCCAUAAAUUCCAUCCCAUCCCAAGAAGAGUCUCCUCCCUCUAGGACAGCCUCACAUCCAUGGGAUGAUCCCAGACCAUC